rnacentral:rRNA from 1 species
UACGGAGGGUGCAAGCGUUAUCCGGAUUCACUGGGUUUAAAGGGUGCGUAGGAGGGCAGGUAAGUCAGUGGUGAAAUCCCCGAGCUUAACUUGGGAACUGCCGUUGAUACUAUCUGUCUUGAAUACCGUGGAGGUGAGCGGAAUACGUCAUGUAGCGGUGAAAUGCUUAGAUAUGACAUAGAACACCAAUUGCGAAGGCAGCUCGCUACACGAAUAUUGACUCUGAGGCACGAAAGCGUGGGGAUCAAACAGG